GUUUGCUCACUACCGGAAAUGGUAUAUUUGAAUCCAAUGGCGCCAGGAAGUGUAGGUGGCACUUCCCGGGCACUGACACCAACCGUUUAUAUACUGUCUAUGCUGCCAACACAGCCAAACUGUUUCAACAAGGACAUUGCCAAAACAAGAAGAAUGUGAAGAAGAAUGUUAAGUAUGUGUUGGCUGCGUGCAGGAUUAAUUCUACAGCAGCCAUAUGUUGUCUCCUUCACGAAAAAGAUCCUAUUUGAACAGCAUACACAAUCAAAUGCUUUAUAGUGGGCAUGGAUGAAGACGCCAUCAACGAGGCCACUGAAGAAACCAGUGUUGGGACAUGGGGGCACUGGUAUUGUCCUUGAAGGCAUCAAGAUGUUGCAAGAUCUUUAUAAUGUAGCAUUACCUGUUGCUACGCUGUUUGGACUAAUGUACAGUAUGCCCUGAACUUCAGCUAUCCUGCUCGCCUUCGAUCCAAAAGAUUUGCAUGGAACUUGAUGGAGGGAAACUUACCAACAAAGCACUUGCUCUAAAAAACAGGCUCUUCCAGUGAAAGGACCAGAGAGACUGCGCCGUCAACCAAACAGCGUAGUUGUCCCUAAAGGCAUCGUUGGUAUGGCUGUACUCUUUGGACUAGUUUUUUUUUUUUUUGAAUUAACUGGACAGGAUAUGCAUGGAGCUGCAUGGAAAUAACCUUUUGCAAACCAAGCAAAAGUUUUCUCUCUAGAAAACAGACUCCAUUAUAGACCAACAGGCAUCUUUGGUACUGCUAUACCAGAUGGAAUGUUUUUUUUUUUUUACACAGGGUUAACAUUUUUUGUCAUUUGAAAAACUACUUUGAAAACAGAGUGCACAAUUUAAAAGGUAACUUCGGGUUUUUCAACUUGGACCUUAUGUUCCUCUGUUGUUGUUACUGAUGGGAAAAACGAUCUUCGACAUUGGUCCAGUAUGAAGCGAGUAGGCCUGUCACGAUAACAAGUUUUG